rnacentral:rRNA from 1 species
UACGGGAUAAUAUAUUUGAGAGGCAUCUCUUGAAUAUCAAAGGUGAGCCAGUACAGGAUGGACCCGCGUCUGAUUAGCUAGUUGGUAAGGUAACGGCUUACCAAGGCGACGAUCAGUAGCCGACCUGAGAGGGUGAUCGGCCACAUUGGAACUGAGACACGGUCCAAACUCCUACGGGAGGCAGCAGUGGGGAAUAUUGCACAAUGGGCGAAAGCCUGAUGCAGCAACGCCGCGGGAGUGAUGAAGGCCUUCGGGUCGUAAAACUCUGUCCUCAAGGAAGAUAAUGACGGUACUUGGGGAGGAAGCCCCGGCUAA